rnacentral:rRNA from 1 species
UAUCUCUGUAGAGUCUGCAUAUCAAUAAGCGGAGGAAAAGAAACUAACAAGGAUUCCCCUAGUAACGGCGAGUGAAGCGGGAAGAGCUCAAAUUCGAAAUCUUCAAGGUUUGACCUUGACGAAUUGUAGUUUAAAGAAGUGUUUUCGGUUAGAGGAGUAGUAAAAGUUCUUUGGAAUAGGACAUCAUAGAGGGUGAGAAUCCCGUAUUUGACUAUUCUUUCUAGCUUUGUGAUACACUGUCAAAGAGUCGGAUUGUUUGGGAAUGCAGUCCAAAAUGGGUGGUAAAUUUCAUCUAAAGCUAAAUAUUGGCGAGAGACCGAUAGCGAACAAGUACCGUGAGGGAAAGAUGAAAAGAACUUUGAAAAGAGAGUUAAACAGUACGUGAAAUUGUCAAAAGGGAAGCGUUUGACACCAGUGUUGUUUUUCCGAAAAUCAAUUAAAAAUUGAUUCAUGCCAGGUUGUAUUGACCUUAUCAGCUUGCAAUUUGGUUUUGGGUCUCUUUUUGAUGCACUUUUCGGUUAACAAGUCAACAUCAAUUUCCUUUGCUGUAAAAAGGUAAGAGGAAGGUGGCUUCAAUUUCGGUUGAAGUGUUUAUAGCCUUUUAUCUCUGCAGUCGGGGAGAUUGAGGUCUGCAGCGUAGAUCCUUCGGGGCUAGAUACAUUUAUGCUAAGUUAUAGCUUUUCAUAGACAACUUGUUGACUAUGUUUAGUCAUGUAGCUUACUCGUAAGUGCUAUUUUACCUACGCUUAGGAUGUUGAAGACUCUACAGAGAUA